rnacentral:rRNA from 1 species
AUGAAGUCUCUUACCCUGAAAAAAAAUCAUAAGCAAGCUUACGGGACGGAACUCCGCAGCCACGAGGAAGAACUUUGGCGGAACCAAUCUAGGGCUCCGGCGGAGCUGUUCUGUCGGGGAAACUUCACUCCGGGAGGGGGAAAUCAUCACCAUCGUCAUCACCAACGAUCCUCUCAUCGGGAGGGGGUCAAUCUCCAUCAACAUCUUCACCAGCACCAUCUCGUCUCAAACCCUCUUGUAUCCAAUCUUGUAUACAAAACCACAAAUUGGUACAUGUGGGUUGCUAGUAGUGUUGAUUACUCCUUGUAG